rnacentral:rRNA from 1 species
GAUGAACGCUUGCGGCGUGCCUAAUACAUGCAAGUCGAGCGAACAGACGAGGAGCUUGCUCCUCUGACGUUAGCGGCGGACGGGUGAGUAACACGUGGAUAACCUACCUAUAAGACUGGGAUAACUUCGGGAAACCGGAGCUAAUACCGGAUAAUAUAUUGAACCGCAUGGUUCAAUAGUGAAAGACGGUUUUGCUGUCACUUAUAGAUGGAUCCGCGCCGCAUUAGCUAGUUGGUAAGGUAACGGCUUACCAAGGCGACGAUGCGUAGCCGACCUGAGAGGGUGAUCGGCCACACUGGAACUGAGACACGGUCCAGACUCCUACGGGAGGCAGCAGUAGGGAAUCUUCCGCAAAGGGCGAAAGCCUGACGGAGCAACGCCGCGUGAGUGAUGAAGGUCUUCGGAUCGUAAAACUCUGUUAUUAGGGAAGAACAAAUGUGUAAGUAACUAUGCACGUCUUGACGGUACCUAAUCAGAAAGCCACGGCUAACUACGUG